UACGUAGAGGGCAAGCGUUGUCCGGAAUCAUUGGGCGUAAAGAGCGUGUAGGCGGCCUGAUAAGUCGGCUGUGAAAGUCAAGGGCUCAACCCUUGAAUGCCGGCCGAUACUGUCAGGCUAGAGUCCGGAAGAGGCGAGUGGAAUUCCUGGUGUAGCGGUGAAAUGCGCAGAUAUCAGGAGGAACACCUAUGGCGAAGGCAGCUCGCUGGGACGGUACUGACGCUGAGACGCGAAAGCGUGGGGAGCGAACAGG
rnacentral:rRNA from 1 species